CUCAAAUAAAUUAAAUCAAAUUAAAAACAAUAGGUGGCCGGUGUGCACUGGCUACAGCAGCAGCCUCCUUGGUCGUGGGCAUAACCGGUUGUUUGUUUCGGGUGCCCUGAGGGACCUUGGGGACAGUU
rnacentral:snoRNA from 1 species